UUAAGCGACUAAGCGUACACGGUGGAUGCCCUGGCAGUCAGAGGCGAUGAAGGACGUGCUAAUCUGCGAAAAGCGUCGGUAAGGUGAUAUGAACCGUUAUAACCGGCGAUGUCCGAAUGGGGAAACCCAGUGUGAUUCGUCACACUAUCGUUAACUGAAUACAUAGGUUAACGAGGCGAACCGGGGGAACUGAAACAUCUAAGUACCCCGAGGAAAAGAAAUCAACCGAGAUUCCCCCAGUAGCGGCGAGCGAACGGGGAGCAGCCCAGAGUCUGAAUCAGCUUGUGUGUUAGUGGAACGGUCUGGAAAGUCCGACGGUACAGGGUGAUAGUCCCGUACACCAAAAUGCACAGGCUGUGAACUCGAAGAGUAGGGCGGGACACGUGGUAUCCUGUCUGAAUAUGGGGGGACCAUCCUCCAAGGCUAAAUACUCCUGACUGACCGAUAGUGAACCAGUACCGUGAGGGAAAGGCGAAAAGAACCCCGGCGAGGGGAGUGAAAAAGAACCUGAAACCGUGUACGUACAAGCAGUGGGAGCACCUUCGGGUGUGACUGCGUACCUUUUGUAUAAUGGGUCAGCGACUUAUAUUCUGUAGCAAGGUUAACCGUAUAGGGGAGCCGCAGGGAAACCGAGUCUUAACUGGGCGUUAAGUUGCAGGGUAUAGACCCGAAACCCGGUGAUCUAGCCAUGGGCAGGUUGAAGGUUGGGUAACACUAACUGGAGGACCGAACCGACUAAUGUUGAAAAAUUAGCGGAUGACUUGUGGCUGGGGGUGAAAGGCCAAUCAAACCGGGAGAUAGCUGGUUCUCCCCGAAAGCUAUUUAGGUAGCGCCUCGUGAACUCAUCUUCGGGGGUAGAGCACUGUUUCGGCUAGGGGGUCAUCCCGACUUACCAACCCGAUGCAAACUACGAAUACCGAAGAAUGUUAUCACGGGAGACACACGGCGGGUGCUAACGUCCGUCGUGAAGAGGGAAACAACCCAGACCGCCAGCUAAGGUCCCAAAGUCAUGGUUAAGUGGGAAACGAUGUGGGAAGGCACAGACAGCCAGGAUGUUGGCUUAGAAGCAGCCAUCAUUUAAAGAAAGCGUAAUAGCUCACUGGUCGAGUCGGCCUGCGCGGAAGAUGUAACGGGGCUAAACCAUGCACCGAAGCUGCGGCAGCGACACUAUGUGUUGUUGGGUAGGGGAGCGUUCUGUAAGCCUGCGAAGGUGUGCUGUGAGGCAUGCUGGAGGUAUCAGAAGUGCGAAUGCUGACAUAAGUAACGAUAAAGCGGGUGAAAAGCCCGCUCGCCGGAAGACCAAGGGUUCCUGUCCAACGUUAAUCGGGGCAGGGUGAGUCGACCCCUAAGGCGAGGCCGAAAGGCGUAGUCGAUGGGAAACAGGUUAAUAUUCCUGUACUUGGUGUUACUGCGAAGGGGGGACGGAGAAGGCUAUGUUAGCCGGGCGACGGUUGUCCCGGUUUAAGCAUGUAGGCUGGUUGUCCAGGCAAAUCCGGAUAAUCAAGGCUGAGGUGUGAUGACGAGGCACUACGGUGCUGAAGUAACAAAUGCCCUGCUUCCAGGAAAAGCCUCUAAGCAUCAGGUAACAUCAAAUCGUACCCCAAACCGACACAGGUGGUCAGGUAGAGAAUACCAAGGCGCUUGAGAGAACUCGGGUGAAGGAACUAGGCAAAAUGGUGCCGUAACUUCGGGAGAAGGCACGCUGGUGUGUAGGUGAAGUCCCUGCGGAUGGAGCUGAGACCAGUCGAAGAUACCAGCUGGCUGCAACUGUUUAUUAAAAACACAGCACUGUGCAAACACGAAAGUGGACGUAUACGGUGUGACGCCUGCCCGGUGCCGGAAGGUUAAUUGAUGGGGUUAUCCGUAAGGAGAAGCUCUUGAUCGAAGCCCCGGUAAACGGCGGCCGUAACUAUAACGGUCCUAAGGUAGCGAAAUUCCUUGUCGGGUAAGUUCCGACCUGCACGAAUGGCGUAAUGAUGGCCAGGCUGUCUCCACCCGAGACUCAGUGAAAUUGAACUCGCUGUGAAGAUGCAGUGUACCCGCGGCAAGACGGAAAGACCCCGUGAACCUUUACUAUAGCUUGACACUGAACAUUGAGCCUUGAUGUGUAGGAUAGGUGGGAGGCUUUGAAGCGUGGACGCCAGUCUGCGUGGAGCCAACCUUGAAAUACCACCCUUUAAUGUUUGAUGUUCUAACGUUGGCCCCUUACCGGGGUUGCGGACAGUGUCUGGUGGGUAGUUUGACUGGGGCGGUCUCCUCCCAAAGCGUAACGGAGGAGCACGAAGGUUAGCUAAUCCUGGUCGGACAUCAGGAGGUUAGUGCAAUGGCAUAAGCUAGCUUGACUGCGAGCGUGACGGCGCGAGCAGGUGCGAAAGCAGGUCAUAGUGAUCCGGUGGUUCUGAAUGGAAGGGCCAUCGCUCAACGGAUAAAAGGUACUCCGGGGAUAACAGGCUGAUACCGCCCAAGAGUUCAUAUCGACGGCGGUGUUUGGCACCUCGAUGUCGGCUCAUCACAUCCUGGGGCUGAAGUAGGUCCCAAGGGUAUGGCUGUUCGCCAUUUAAAGUGGUACGCGAGCUGGGUUUAGAACGUCGUGAGACAGUUCGGUCCCUAUCUGCCGUGGGCGCUGGAGAAUUGAGGGGGGCUGCUCCUAGUACGAGAGGACCGGAGUGGACGCAUCACUGGUGUUCGGGUUGUCAUGCCAAUGGCACUGCCCGGUAGCUAAAUGCGGAAGAGAUAAGUGCUGAAAGCAUCUAAGCACGAAACUUGCCCCGAGAUGAGUUCUCCCUGAGACUUUAAGUCUCCUGAAGGAACGUUGAAGACGACGACGUUGAUAGGCCGGGUGUGUAAGCGCAGCGAUGCGUUGAGCUAACCGGUACUAAUGAACCGUGAGGCUUAACCUU
rnacentral:rRNA from 2 species